AGUGAACGCUGGCGGUAGGCCUAACACAUGCAAGUCGAACGGCAGCACAGUAAGAGCUUGCUCUUACGGGUGGCGAGUGGCGGACGGGUGAGGAAUACAUCGGAAUCUACUUUUUCGUGGGGGAUAACGUAGGGAAACUUACGCUAAUACCGCAUACGACCUACGGGUGAAAGCAGGGGAUCUUCGGACCUUGCGCGAUUGAAUGAGCCGAUGUCGGAUUAGCUAGUUGGCGGGGUAAAGGCCCACCAAGUCGACGAUCCGUAGCUGGUCUGAGAGGAUGAUCAGCGACACUGGAACUGAGACACGGUCCAGACUCCUACGGGAGGCAGCAGUGGGGAAUAUUGGACAAUGGGCGCAAGCCUGAUCCAGCCAUACCGCGUGGGUGAAGAAGGCCUUCGGGUUGUAAAGCCCUUUUGUUGGGAAAGAAAAGCAGCAGGUUAAUACCCCGCUGUUCUGACGGUACCCAAAGAAUAAGCACCGGCUAACUUCGUG
rnacentral:rRNA from 1 species